AUGGCGGCUUCCGGGUUUGGCGGGGACUUUGUCUCUGGCUGCGGUGGUAUUGGGAGAACCACAGCUAAAACGCCAGGACCUCCUGGAAGCCUAGAAAUGGUGAGAAUGCCGGAUCCGAUAUCCCGAGAGAGCGGGGAGUGGGCUAGUUGGAACCUGUGGGAAGUGGCCGUAGCAGGACUCGGGCCUCCCCGCACCCUGUGGCUCUGCCACGGCAGCAGCAUAGGUGUCGCCUGGGGUGCAGGCUGGGUGGCGACAGUCCUGAUCCUCGGCACGGACUCAUGCUACUGCAUUUACAGGCUGACACACAGUCAGCGGCAGGGCAGCUGCGGGCUCAGUCUGCACUCCUCACAGUCCACGGAAGACUUAACUGAUGGUUCAUAUGAUGAUGCUCUGAAUGCCGAACAACUUCAGAAACUCCUUUACCUGCUUGAGUCAACUGAGGAUCCUAUAAUUAUUGAAAAAGCUUUGAUUACUUUGGGUAACAAUGCAGCCUUUUCAGUGAACCAAGCUAUUAUUCGUGAAUUGGAGGGUAUUCCAAUUGCUGGAAACAAAAUCAACCAUUCCAACGAGAGUAUUAAAGAGAAGCCUUUAAAUGCACUUAACAACGGGAGUGUGAAUGUUGAAAAUCAAAUCAAGAUAAAGAUAUACAUCAGCCAAGUCUGUGAGGAUGUCUUCUCUGGUCCUCUGAACUCUGCUGUGCAGCUGGCUGGACUGAGAUUGUUGACAAACAUGACUGUUACCAAUGACCACCAGCACAUGCUUCACAGUUAUAUUACAGACCGGUUCCAGGUGUUACUUACUGGAAGUGGAAACAUGAAGGUCCAAGUUUUGAAAAUGCUUUUGAAUUUGUCUGAAAAUUGAGCCAUGACAGACGGACUUCUUCGUGCCCAAGUGGAUGCGUCAUUCUUUUCCCUUUAUGACAGCCAUGUAGCAAAGGAGAUUCUUCUUUGAGUACUUACACUAUUUCAGAAUAUGAAUAACUGCCUCAAAAUAGAAGGCCAUUUAGCUGUGCAGCCACUUUCACUGAAGGUUCAUUGUUUUUCCUGUUAUAUGGAGAAGAAUGUGCCCAGAAAGUAAGAGCUUUAUUUCAUCAUGAUGAUGCAGAGGUGAAGGAAAAGAUUGUAGCAAUAAUGUCCAAAAUCUAAUCGGUCAUAUUUUUCCGAAGAGUAAUGCAGUCUGGAUAUAAACGUAUUUUCUAUCUUCCUUAUAAGGAGAUUCUUCCAGCUGCUGAAUUUAAACAGUAACUAUCACAUUUCAUCAUUAACACAGCUACAACUUGCCACAGUGUUCAGAUUUAUCUUGGGCUAUUUUGAUACCAAGUGAGUAUAAGAGCUUGCCCUGAAACCAUUUCUUUUUAUUUUGCUAUUUGCAAUUAUUUCUUAUUUUCCCUACCUGAAGUGGCAGUAACUUUUUUCACAAAGCUACCCUACUUUCUGAAGUGAUUUGCAGUUACUCAUCUGAGACAGCAUUAGAAUGUGACUAAAUCACUGUUUCAGAACUGUAGUAGGAAUGGUCAUGUUCUUUUAAUAGCAAUGAGAUCCUAAGUUCUUGAUGCCACUCACCUGCCAAACUGACCACACUGCUUUCAAGUCUCUUCUCUUGAAUAGAAUCUAUUUUGAUUACUUCUAGUCAAUGAAAAAAUGUAAACUUUUAGGAGAGAAUGUUUCCUAGGACUCACCCACUCCCAUUCAGUGCUCCAAUAUGUAAAGAAAGUUACAUAUAAAAUACUGGGAUCAAUCACAAUGUCCAUCUUUAGGCAGUUGGUUAAAUCAAUUAUCCAGUCUUUGAAAAGAGUUAUGGAGGUCUGAAUGUGCUGAAUUGGAAAGAUAUCUAUGUAAUGUGGUGGGUUUUCUUUAUAAAGACACAAGUUACAGAAGAACACAGGAUCCCGUGUGUGUGUGUGUGUUUUUAAAUGAAAAAUGCAUAUUGACUGACACCUAUAGAAUGAUACCCAAACUCCUGCAGUGGGAAUGGGGAAUGCCUUCUACAUACACACUUCUACUGUGUGAAUUUUUUACUAUGAGCCGAAAUUGUGUAAUCUUUUUUUAAAUAAAGAAGAAAAUCACCCCAAAAAAAAAAAAUACUGGGGUGUCACUCCUUCUGAACCCUUCAGCAGUUGGAGUAUGAAAAUGUACAUAUUAAUACAUUCAUGUAGGAAUAAAUAUUUUAAUCUCUGCUUCCCUCUGUCAAUGAAUAUUUAUGAGACAUAAUUUGCCCAAAUAUUUCCAGCUAAGCAUCGUAGCUCAUGCCUGUAAUGCCAGCACUUUGGGAGACUGAGGAAGGUGGGUUAGGGGCUAGGAAUUUGAGACCAGCCUGGCCAACAUGGUGAGACCCCAUCACUACUAAACAGAAAAAAUUAGCUAGGUGUGGCUGGUGCAGUGCCUCACACUUGUAAUCCCAGCACUUUGGGAGGCUGAGGCAGGCAGAUCAUGAGGUCAGGAGUUUGAAACCAGCCUGGCCAAUAUGGCGAAACCCUGUCUCUACUAAAGAUACAAAAAAUUAGCUGUGUAUGAUGGUGCAUGUCUGUAAUCCCAGCUACUUGGGAGGCUGAGGCAGGAGAAUCACUUGAACCCAGGAGAUGGAGGUUGCAGUGAGCUGAGAUCACACCAUUGUUCUCCAGACUGGGUGACAGAGGGAGGCUUCGUCUCAAAAAAAAAAAAAAAUUACCCAGGUAUGUUCGUGCACAUCUGUAAUUUCAGCUACUUGGGUGGCUGAGUAAUGAGAAUCACUUGAACGUGGGAGGUGGAGGCUGCAGUGAGCCAAGAAUGCACAACUGCACUACAGCCGGGAUGACAAAGCAAGAAUCUCUCAAAAUGACAACAAAUAUUUGCAAUUCCGGUCCAGCACUAAAGCACGUAUUCUAAAACUCUCCGUUUCUUUUUUCGACUUCAAAGAAAAGCAGGCACUAAUUACCGUGUGUAGGUAGCUACGUGGGUGUGUGUGUGUGUAUGUGUGUGUGUGUGUGUGUGUGUGUGUGUGUGUGUGUGUAUAUAUAUAUAUAUAUAUAUGCCAACGUACAGUUUUAAAAAUUGCUAAUCCAUUGGCUGGGCGCAAUGGCUCAUGCCUGUAGUCCCAGCACUUUGGGAGGCCAAACUCCUGACCUCAGGUGAUCCGUGUGAGGUUGACAGAAAGGAUGGAGAGGCAGAUCCAGGAUUAGGUUUAGCAAGUUUCUUUCAACCUGACAGGCUGGCUGCCUCACUACAGGCAGGAAAGGCAGCAGCCUGGCUUACAGACUGUGGGGGUUACAUAGUGGGGUUUGCAGGUAGCCAGGUACUAGUCUAAGAAAAACUGCAUCUUGGUUCUCAGGGGCUGACAUUCUGCUUAAUCGGGUUAACAACCUGGGUUUGAGAGCCGGGUGCGACCACAUCCUGGAACCCAGGUGCCCUGUUUACAAGGCUUGAGGCUGUUUUGUUAUAAGCUCAGCUUAGCAGGGGAGGGGGCCUAUGGGCUUGCCUUGCUGUGACUCUAACAAGCCACCUGCCUUGGCCUCCUAAAGUGCUGGUAUGACAGGCGUGAGCCACCGUGCCUGGCGGUUAAACUCUUUUUUUAAAAUGUACUGCAUUACCUCUAAAUUUCUCAAAAUCAUGUUUUUGUUUUUUUGCAGCAAUGUGAUGUUCAUAAGAUUUGACAACUGUCGAGAAUCACAUACCCAUUUUCAAAGUACCACACAGGACUGUUUCAUUGCCCUAAUUUUCUUUCUCCUCCAUCUCCCCUUUCUUCUUUCCCACUUUCUUCUAUCUCCUCUCUCCUCUCCUGCUUUCUUUUUUUUUUUUGAGACAGAGUUUCACUCUUGUUGUCCAGGCUGGAGUACAAUGGUGCAAUCUCAUCUCACUGAAACCUCCACCUCCCAGGUUCAAGUGAUUCUCCUGCCUCAGCCUCCCAAGUAGCUGGGAUUACAGGCAUGUGCCACCACACCCGGCUAAUUUUGUAUUUUUAGUAGAGAUGGGGUUUCUCCAUGUUGGUCAGGCUGGUCUUGAACUCCCGACCUCAGGUGACCCACCCACAUCAGCCCCCCAAAGUGCUGGGAUUACAGGCGUGAGCCACCAAGCCUGGCCUCCUCUUCUUCUUUAAUGUCUUGCUAUGUUUCCCAGGCUGCUCUCAAAAUCUCUGGGCUCAACAACUCUUUGUGAUGUAAGCUUUCUUUUUAUUUUUUUUUCCACUGGAAAGUCGUAAUUAUAUAAUCAAUGUAGAAAGAAAUGUAUACAAUAUUGCAGCAGAAAAUAUUGGGGUAUUGUCACACGACCAGGAAAGAUUAGUCCCACAGACACAUAGAAGAGUGAGGAGUAAAAUUACUGAAUAAGAAGGAAAAAACACUCAGCAAAGUGAGGUACAGUCCUGCUAAAAGGCUCUCCUAAUAGCCGAGGUUGACUGGAUGGCUC